GACGUUUUUGUUUCUUGGAUGCCUUGACAAGUCCGAACACCAAGAGGACAACAGCGACUGCAGCGAUAAUGGAGUUACUUUCAACCAGAAGGAUCCAGAAUCCAGCCACGUACGAUCCGUUACAGUUCCUGCACCCCUGGAAUAGAUGCCAACAAAUUUUUUUUUCAUUUCAUCGCAAAAUGGAACUAUAUUAUCGCUCAACUCUUUAUAUAAAGUUGGAUGUAUAAGUAUGUCUAACUUUAUUUGCAUACAUACAGUGUACUCAUGUAGGGUGCUAUAUAUUAUUAAUGCAGUGGAUCUCAACCUUUUUGACUUCAAGGCCCCACACCCUACUCACAAUUUCUACCAGAUAAAAUAUUUUAAAGCUUGGCAUCACUAGAAAGAUGUAUAUUUGUUAUAGAUGUAUCUUUGUCUUAUUUUCAUGCGUGUUUUAUCUUAUUUUAAAUCAUUUUAAGUCAUCUUGAGGCUCCCUAGACUGGUCCCCGGCCCCCUGAUUGAGAACCACUGAUAUAUAAAGGAAAUCUCAACUGUA